AGGAGGCCGCGCCGGGCCUUGCGGGGCCGCCGGGACGGGGUCGCCGGGCUCGCGGGGACCGCGGGGCUCUCGGCCUCCCGCCUCCCCAGGCGCCGGCUCCUUCGGGGCGUCUCCAUGGCCUCCCGCCGCGCCAGCCGAGCCCACCAGCAGAAGACCCACGUGGAGCGCCUAGGUUCUCCGGCGGCCGACGCUCCCAGUGACGUCCAAAAACAGCGACAGCCAACGAAGGGCUGGAAGGCGUGGUGCCCCGUCGGCCAUAUUGGUGAGGGGCAAAACCCCAGCGCCGCACUUUCCGGGAGCAUGCGCCUUCCUGCUCCUCUCCGAGCAGCGCAUUUGCGCCUGCGCAGAUCCCAUCGCUGGCCCCAGAUGGUGCUGGGCUUCCGAGGGUCUGGGGGACGGACGGGGAAGGGCACCGGCGGACCGGGACCGGGACCAGCCCCCGGACUCGCUUCGUUCGCGGGCCUGCUGUGCGCUAGCGCGGUGCUGCAUCAAGCAUUUCUUUAUCUGGGCUUUGAGGGCUCGAAGAAAAAGGGCGAGGAAGAGGUCCGGCCCUCAGGGAGCUUGCACUCUGCCCGGAAGUGGGAGGUUUACCCAAAUAGAAACCCUGCGCCCAGGGGUGGGGGCGGGGCAGGAAAAGCUCCCCGAGGCUGCGGGCGGGUGGAAGGGCAGGAGUUCCCUACAGACCCGGCGUGAGCUUGAGAAACAACAAAUGUGGAUAUUUCUAGGAACAGAGAUGCGCGCGCACAGGAAGAGCCUGCGUUGCAGUCAUACGGAGUUUGUGCAUUGGCCGGUUGGGAGUAAUCCUUGUUCUAAGAGGACCAAAGUAACGUCACUGUAUUGGGCUCACGGCGCCACGUAUCCUACUGUGGAGGGCCCUCCUCCAGGGGGGCCCCGUGCUCACGUUUGGAGAGGAGAUGACUCCGUUUGUACCUCUCACGUUUCUUGAGCAAUUCUGCGUCCUGCACAAAGCACAAAGCCGCCUUUGACUCUGGGCACUUGGUGCUGCUUGACCCUGAGACCCGUAGUCUUCCAUCUUCCACAAAGGGUUCCAGAGUUCUUCAGAGAGACCUUGAGAGUGUCCUUGUAUCCAUUCUCUGAGCUCCAUAUCAGCGUUGUUUAAUAUUCUAUAAGAUGUCUGGGAAGAAUCUGCAAUGAGAGGAAAGGCUGGUGAGCAGACAGUUCUCCACGUGAGAAUUUCCUGGAGGGUUG
rnacentral:lncRNA from 1 species